UGUUAACUCAUCUUUACACCAUGGAUCUGACUUGUAAUGUGUUGAUAACUCGUCAGAAACGCUGGCUUGGUAAGAGACUACAGCUAUUGGCUACUAAACAUUGCACUAACUAAAACAGCUUGACUACUAAGGGAUUGAUACCAUCUCUCUUUUUUUCUUUUUACAAUUACAAUAUUACAUACGUAUAAUGUACAAAUAACGUUUGGGAAAAGUACAAUUUUGUCAGGACUAUAGUAGUACCACAGUAGACUUUCAGUCAAUCAACUGAAGCCAGACGGAUUAAGGACGACCCCACUCUGCAGAACCAAUCUACUCCUAUGAUACAACUGCUCAACUGCAGGCAUCAUCAGUUGAUGUUGGAAAUUCCUCGUGGGGGGGAAGAGCUGUGCGUCAUCGGAGUGCUAUUGGGGAGCGCUAUUGGGGAGCGUUCCUGGAUUGGGAUGACUCCUCUUUGGUAUGGAUUGAUCUAUUGCGGUGUUUUUUUCUGUGGAAUGUGGGGCGUGGUUUAAGUAUUGCAAACUGAUAAUACCUUUUGGGGGGAAGGCGUGUAUCUUGCUUUUGUGUGGACAUUGUGUGGGGGCUUUUAUGCUAGACAUGGUUGGCCAUUAGUGGGGUUUAUGCCUAUCCCCUAGUGGGGUUCUAUGUACAGUGGCUCUGUGCCUACAGUCCUGUUUCCAGUCUCCUUGUGGCAAAAAAACAUUUGUAUAACCAUUUCUGAUUCUGAGUGUUGUCUGUGACCUGAGUGUUGCUGUACAAGGGGGUGUUUUUAAUGACAAUCUGUGUUAAAACAGCACACUGAUAACAAUAAUAACAGUAAUGAUAAUAAUGAUGAUGUUGAAAAUAAUAAACGGGGAUGAUGCCAAUGACAACAUUAAUAAAAGUAACAUUGCAUGUUAUUAACAAGUCAAUACAAAACAAAAUACACUACAAAAACACUGAAAAUGAUGAAAAGAAAUGGAAAGAUCUGCAUGCGAUGAUCCCUUGGCAGUGGACAUUCUGGUACUUCAGGUACAGGUAUGUGGGAGAAGAAUUAAAUAAUGAUUACACAUAAAGAACACGAAUAUAUGUGUAUGAGACAUAUAUAUAAAUUUAUAUUUAUAUAUAUAUAUAGUGGGGGUGUUGAGUUAUGUGUUCUCAUCCAUUGUUAUUUGUAUUAUUUUAUGUUUCUGAUUUGUAUCCUAUUGUGUCAAUUAUACAAAUUGUAUGUGUUAUUUCCACAGUACUGGGUUCGUAUCCCGUCUGCGGGUGUGUCCAAAUAAUUAAAAACAUUCAGAAGUUU